rnacentral:lncRNA from 1 species
UUUAUAAAAGUUCAGAUUCUAGAAGUUAUUGAAAACUCCAAAAACCUCUGAUUUUCUGAUUAAAAAUAUGGUGUAGAGUGGAGAUUUCCUGAUUGUUUUAGCUGGUUUCUCUAGUUUCAAACUAUCUUUAUUUGGGUCUGGGUUUACUGCUGAAGUUUGGGUUUUCAUCUCUCUUUUGGUUCUUCCUGACCUUUAUUUGGUCAUUUCUCAAUCAUAUUUUUUCAGGUUUAAGGUAUGUACAAUGUUCAUUUUGAAUUGAAUCAAUUUUAUAUUCAAAAAUCUGUAUUUGAAACUUAUUUGGUUAGCUGAUCUUUGAUUUUUAGUCGGCGAAUCAUGAAUGUUUGAAAUUGGAGUUAAUUGAACAAUGUGUUAGUUUAAUUGAUUGUUGAGUUUAAAUUAUGAAAUCUGUGAUGUUAUGUUGUACAUAUAUUAGAACUCAACAUGUUUUAAUUGCUGAAUCAGAAUAUAUAUACUUAUGAAAUUUAUGUUCAAAGUUUCUCUUUUACAGCAGCACAAAAAGAAAAAAGAAGAGAAUCUGACCCCUUAAAUGGUAAGAUUCAUCUCUGACUAGUGCAUAAUAAUCUAGAUUCUUGAAUAUAUGCCUACGUUAUCUUCUUUCCCCUUCUUUUCUUCUUUACUAAAGUGAAUCUGUGUUUGUCUAUGGGGUUGACCUUCAACAUGGUUAGACUUGUGGACAAUAUUAUUUUCCUUUACUCAUUUUGUACUAGAAUUGACUAGGUAACAUUGUAGGUCUCUACAUUCAAAGAAGUCUUAUGAAUCUAACCUUUCGACAUGGUCAAACUCAUGAGAAAUCUUGGCUCAUUCAUAGCUGAAGCAGUUGCACUUUUAGAAAUUUUCCCUUUUUAUUUUAUUGUAAUUUAGUUUAAGGCACUAAUGUAAUUUAUAUUUUGUACCUUGUUUAAUUCCGGAAUUUGUAAUAAAUGGCACUGGACUUUACAAAUUUAUAUAUUGGUUAAUCCAGCCUCGGUAGUUUAUUUAACUAUGUUUCAAAUGCCUAUUAGCAUGCUGUGUUAAAAAUAAAAAAAGGGGAACGUUUGGCUACUAAGCUUUAGUUCAGCUGUUUGAUUCCAGCAAUUUCAAAGGCUUGUUCGCUUUGUUCAAGAAAAUUGGUUUAAAAAGGUUUUAAACUCAAAUCUGAUUUUUGUUCUUAUUAAAUACAUGCUUAAUGAGUUAAGACUUUCCUUGUUAGAUAUCUUUUGUUUAGACUAUAUAGAUGUUAAAAGCUGUGUUA